ensembl:miRNA
UCUAAGAAGGGAAGACUUCCUGGAUUACAGGGACCCUUCUUUAAGGGCCCUUUCAGUUGGAAGUUUUACUUUCUGCCU